rnacentral:tRNA from 1 species
UUAAUUGAAACCAAAUAAGAGGUUUAUCAUUGUUAAUGAUAUAAAUGAAUAUUUCUAAUAUUCCAAUUAAG